GCUGAGGUGGUGGAAUGGCAGACACGCAGGUCUCAGAAGCCUGUCUCCGAAAGGAUGGUAGGGGUUCAAAUCCCCUCCUCAGCA
rnacentral:tRNA from 1 species